rnacentral:rRNA from 1 species
AACGAACGCUGGCGGCAUGCCUAACACAUGCAAGUCGAACGAGACCUUCGGGUCUAGUGGCGCACGGGUGCGUAACGCGUGGGAACCUGCCCUUAGGUUCGGAAUAACUCCCCGAAAGGGGUGCUAAUACCGGAUAAUGUCUUCGGACCAAAGAUUUAUCGCCUUUGGAUGGGCCCGCGUUGGAUUAGCUAGUUGGUAGGGUAAAAGCCUACCAAGGCGACGAUCCAUAGCUGGUCUGAGAGGAUGAUCAGCCACACUGGGACUGAGACACGGCCCAGACUCCUACGGGAGGCAGCAGUGGGGAAUAUUGGACAAUGGGCGAAAGCCUGAGCCAGCAAUGCCGCGUGAGGGAUGAAGGCCUUAGGGUUGUAAAGCUCUUUUACCCGGGAUGAUAAUGACAGUACCGGGAGAAUAAGCUCCGGCUAACUCCG